CUCAGGAAACCCGUGUAGUAGCUAAGUUACUGAUUUAUGAUAAAAAAUAUAACUUACAAACAUCCACAUAGAAGAGAUGCAUGGGGCAAGAGCCCAGAGCUUCCAAGCCCUUUCCAGGUGUGUCUUUGUCCCAGCACCUUCAUAAGCACAUAAACCUUGAAGCUCUCUGAACCCCAUCAGCUUGGGUUUUACAUAGAAAUGGUUGAUUAACUCAUUGGCCAUUGACAAAUGAUUUAACCUCUAGCUUCUCUUCCUCUCACCAGAGGUCAGGAGAUUGGGAAGGAAAAUUCUAACUCUCUAUGACAAGGUGGUUGCUCUGGUGACCAUUCUUAGGUAAUAUAGGGCCUUCCUGAAAUCACCUUAUUAACAUAACAAAGACACCUGUAUCACUCUCAGCAUUUAGGAAAUUCCAGUGGUUUUAGAGUUCUGUGCCAGUAAUGGGGACAAAGACCAAAUAUACAUUUCUUAUUAUAAAUCACAAUAUCACAGUAGGUGACUCCUGUUAUUGGAGAACUUACAGUGUAAAGUCAUAAUAACCAGUAGGCUAGUAAGGAAGCAUAACCAGUAUGCCUGGAUUGGUCUUUUUCUAAACUAUACAAUUCUUGCCACUCAAUUUUACUCAUAUUCGUGAAUUAUUAGCCCCUUGUGUGUUUGCUUUUAAAAGAGCAUGAGUAUCAGUGCAUAGCACUGAAAGCAGUGCAUUUUCAUUGCCUGGAUCCUUUUCAAAAAUGCAGAUUAUGAUUCAGUAGAUUUUGUUUGGGACCUGAGAUACUACAGCACUACUGCCAAGUCCCCAGAAUGAAACAAGUAAAAGGUUAGCACCAAGCUUUUCUGGAACUGUUGACGUGGGGUUGGUAACACAGCACAUCCAAAAAACCAGCAAAUAUCAUAUGGAGUCCAGAGAAAAGUUGACCAACAUGUCUACAAGAACAGAUGUCCCUAACCAAUACUUUGAACAUUUAUUCUUCUAGAAUAUUAGCUGCGAAG